UCCAGCGUCGGUAGUCAUCCACCCAUCCACUUGCGUGGCAAGGCGAGGCAACAGCCGGGCCGGUUGUCGCAAUUGAGCGGGCCUAGCUCGUCCUACUAGUAUGAGGAUCGGCACAGUAUGUUGCGUAAUCCUACCACUAACUGUGGAGAGGUAGAGGCAACACAUGUUCCGGUUGUUCUCAAAUUCGGAGAGCAUUAUUAGGGUCAGGUCGAGGCAACCAAAAGGGCCACGAGCCUUUAUCAUGAGCAACAUCCGAAACCAACAGCGGGAGCGAGGCUGCCUUGAUAGCACCAGGCACGAAACAUGCCAGCACCAAGAGGCAACGCCGCAAGCGCCAUAUGGCCGCAGCAGCACACCCAAAGGCGUCCACCGCGAGGCAACUGUGUAUGAAGCACCAAUACCCGUAGGUCGGGUAACAUCACGCAAGCACUUGAAAGGCAACAGUAAGAUAGCUCACACGAAUGAAAAGACACGGCGCCGGUAGUCGGCCGCACGAAGACGGGGGACCUACC
rnacentral:misc_RNA from 1 species